GGGGAAUAUUGCGCAAUGGGGGCAACCCUGACGCAGCCAUGCCGCGUGAAUGAAGGAGGCCUUCGGGUUGUAAAGUUCUUUCGGUAGCGAGGAAGGCACUUAGUUUAAUAAACUAGGUGAUUGACGUUAACUACAGAAGAAGCACCGGCUAACUCCGUGCCAGCAGCCGCGGUAAUACGGAGGGUGCGAGCGUUAAUCGGAAUAACUGGGCGUAAAGGGCACGCAGGCGGUGACUUAAGUGAGGUGUGAAAGCCCCGGGCUUAACCUGGGAAUUGCAUUUCAUACUGGGUCGCUAGAGUACUUUAGGGAGGGGUAGAAUUCCACGUGUAGCGGUGAAAUGCGUAGAGAUGUGGAGGAAUACCGAAGGCGAAGGCAGCCCCUUGGGAAUGUACUGACGCUCAUGUGCGAAAGCGUGGGGAGCAAACAGGAUUAGAUACCCUGGUAGUCCACGCUGUAAACGAUGUCGAUUUGGGGGUUGAACUUUGAGUUUGGCGCCCGUAGCUAACGUGAUAAAUCGACCGCCUGGGGAGUACGGCCGCAAGGUUA
rnacentral:rRNA from 1 species